GGGUGACAGGUGGUGCAUGGUUGUCGUCAGCUCGUGUCGUGAGAUGUUGGGUUAAGUCCCGCAACGAGCGCAACCCUCGCCUCUAGUUGCCAGCAUCGGUUGGGCACUCUAGAGGGACUGCCGGCGACAAGUCGGAGGAAGGUGGGGAUGACGUCAAAUCAUCAUGCCCUUAUGACCUGGGCUACACACGUGCUACAAUGGGCGGUACAAAGGGCUGCGAACCCGCGAGGGGGAGCGAAUCCCAAAAAGCCGCUCUCAGUUCGGAUUGCAGGCUGCAACUCGCCUGCAUGAAGCCGGAAUCGCUAGUAAUCGCGGAUCAGCAUGCCGCGGUGAAUACGUUCCCGGGCCUU
rnacentral:rRNA from 1 species